AACGAACGCUGGCGGCAUGCCUAACACAUGCAAGUCGAACGAGACCUUCGGGUCUAGUUGCGCACGGGUGCGUCACGCGUGGGAACCUGCCCUUAGGCUCGGAAUAACUCCCCGUAAGGGGUGCUAAUACCGGAUAAUUUCUUCUGACCAAAGAUUUAUCGCCUUUGGAUGGGCCCGCGUUGGAUUAGCUAGUUGGUAGGGUAAAAGCCUACCAAGGCGACGAUCCAUAGCUGGUCUGAGAGGAUGAUCAGCCACACUGGGACUGAGACACGGCCCAGACUCCUACGGGAGGCAGCAGUGGGGAAUAUUGGACAAUGGGCGAAAGCCUGAUCCAGCAAUGCCGCGUGAGUGAUGAAGGCCUUAGGGUUGUAAAGCUCUUUUACCCGGGAUGAUAAUGACAGUACCGGGAGAAUAAGCUCCGGCUAACUCCGU
rnacentral:rRNA from 1 species